rnacentral:lncRNA from 1 species
AACCUCUACCAUAUCGGGCGAGGAAAGAGACCCCUUCCCUCAAUAUAUACGGCGCGCUUCACUAAUAUAAUGCUCAAGUAAAGGCUCCAUCCUACCCUACUCGUUGCCCAGAAGCCUUUACUUGAGCAUUGUACAAGUGCUUAAGGCUCUUUCGGGCCAUGGCAACAAACUACUUUUUUUUUCAACCUUCAAUUGCUUCCUGUGCUAGCGGUUGAUGUGCUUUCCUUCCAGACGGCUACGAACUUGCUUAGCCCUCUUCUUAUUCCCAGAAUCCUUAGCCUCUUCCUAAAUAAGGCCCCUCCCUAGUCCUUAUUCUCUAUUCCUUAUAAAAUGAAAGAUUCAUUCUUUAGCCAGAUCAACAUCCUUCUUCCUAUUACCUAUCUCCAGUCCACAAAAGAGUUGAUCGCAGAAUGCGAUUAAUCUCUUUUGCGUUCACGGUGGUAAAUACACCUCCAUAGGCUUGAAGUUUCAUUGGUCACCUACGAUAAACUUCUCUUGCUUGAAAAACAAACAGAAUGGGAAGUGAGACUCCCCGACAGGAGUCGAACGGUACUUCAAUAAAGAGAAAGAAAAGUAGACAAACAAGUCACAUCGCCUGUUGUCUUUCAGCCUAGAGAUUAUCUGGGGGGGGGGGGGGUAGGAAAUGCUUCUGAAAAGAUGCCUUCGGGUGUCUCUUCAUACAUUCGAGAGAAGCUUUCCCCUUAUCUUUAAUAAGCAUUGCUAUCGCCAAUCUCUCAUACCUAUCUUCUCCUGAUCUUCAAAGUCUUGGGGGUUAGAACUUAUCUAUCAAUUGACAAAUAUCAUCAAUUCUAAAAGAUUUAUUCACUUCACGAGGAUCCAAAGCCGACCCCAAAAUAAGCAGCUCUAUUGUUUGAUCACUAAAUCGGCUAUUUAAUUCUUGGAGUUGAGAAUCUAUUGCAGCAUAAAACAUAUCUAUCAUGUAAUAAUGCUUAAUUUAAAAUCAUCUUGUUGAUGGUGAGCUUGACCUCGUCUUGCAACAUAAUGAGCAUUCAUAUCUAGGAUAUUUAUGUUCUGUGCUUCACAAAAAGAAUUCACCUUGGUAAGCAAAGAAUCUCAUCUGUCAUCUCUUAAUUCUUGGAUGAGUGCUUUAGUGGAAGAAACAAGAUUCAUGGCAUUUAUUAUGUCAUGGGAUUGACAUUGCAAAGCUUGACAAAGAUCAUUAGUGAUCUCCAUAGGUUCUUUCAUAAGAUGUAAGAUAAAGACAAAUUCAUAUGAAGUCAUUGCCUCAUAAGUUGCAUCAGCAUCUCCCCGUUGAGAAUAAGUAGUUUCGUUAUCCAUUGUAUUAAUUAGAACUGUACAUGUUGCACUAAACAUAUUUAUCAAGCUAGUAAUUGAUUUCAAAUGAGAAACUCAACGAGUAUCACCAACACGUUGUAAGGUGCCAAUUUGGUUCAUUCCUUUCCCAGUCUCGAGCUCAUCAAUUGCAAUCAUGUGCUCAAUUUCAGCAGCUUGAGCAUUUUUCAGUUCAUCAUUACGCUUGCAUGAAGCACCAACAAUAUUGACAAUAGAAGUCAAUUUAGUGAAAAAGUGGUGAACAUGAAUAACUUCUCUUGAUGAUGCAAUUAAUGUCAAUUGCAAUUGAUAUGCUAAACAAUGAACAUAGUAAGCAUAUGAGCAAUCAUUCAAAAUCAAAGCUUGUAACCCAUUCCAUUCACCUCGCAUGUUACUUGCACCAUCAUAUCCUUGUCCUCUAAUAUUUUGAAUAUUUAGUGAAUUAUGAGACAAUAUAGAGUAUAUACCUUUUUUCAGAGUUAAUGCCUCAGUGUCUGAUACAUGAACAAGCCCCAAAAAAGGCUCCUGAAUAAGACCUUCUUUGUCAACAAAUCGCAACACUAUAGCCAUUUACUCUCUCUUAGAUUCAUCACGCGCUUCAUCAACAAUUAUACAAAACUUUGAUUCUCCAAUUUCUUCACAGAUUGCUUUCUUCACUUUAGUUGGAAAAACAUGUAAAAUUUCUUUUUGGAUCUGUGGUGAUGUGUAAGAGGCAUUUUUGGGAGCUUUAUCUAAGACAACUCCAGUAACUUUUUUAUAUGCAGCCAAUAUUUCUAACAUUUGAAGAAAAUUUCCAUGAUUGAUUGAAUUUUUUUUUUUCAUCAUGGCCUCUAAAAGCAUAUCCUUGGAAUGCAAGCCACCUGACUGCUUCAAUUGUUGCCUUAAGUCGUAGUCGAUUGUCUGCAAUUUGUUGGGAAGAAUAAUUCUCAAUGACUUUCUGUAUAUGUUGGGAUUGAUUCAUCAAAUCCAAACAUGAUAUUUCGGCAAUUUUAUGAGGAAAGUUGGGAUCUUUCCCCUCGUGAUUUAGAAAAGAACAAAAUUUUCCAUCUCUAACUUUCUUCCAACUUUGAAAUUCCUCAAAAGCAAAAGCAUUUUUCCCAGAAUGUCCAGAUGGUUUGUUAAAAAGAUAGCACAGUAGACAAAAAGCUGCAUCUUUCAUAGGUGAAUAUCCUAACCACAAAGGAAAUAGUUUGAACCAUGAACUUUGAAAGCUACGCUGAUGAGUUACUAAUCCUGAUUUUGGAUACUUGGAAAGUAUAGGUUGGUAUGGACCGGUGUUAAUGUAAGCUCGUGGAAUUUCGUCACGUUGAUUAAUAGGAUAUUCCAUAUUUGUGGACGUAGUCCUGGGUCGCGCUCUAAAGAACUAUGAUCAACUUCAUUGUCAAUAGUCUCAAUUCUUGGAGAUCCAUAACGAUUUUCAGACGCUACUGUCUCAAUAUUAGAAUCAGGUACAUAUGAGAUAACUUCAGAUAUUUCAGUAUGUUUUCUUUUGAAAAAUCCAUCAAUUCUAGGUUGUUUCUUCAUCUACAAACCAAUUACAAAUUUAAUUAAGGACAUGAUUAAUAAAUUAUACCACACAAAAAGUUCAUAUUCUAUGCAUAGAACAUAUAAAAUACGACACAUAUAACUAUAACAAUGAAAACUUCAAUUCACACUCAUAUAAACAUAUACAAAUAUAUUCUCAUUAAAAAUAAAUAAACAGAGAAAAAAAACUAUGAUUAUGUAAAGUUAUCUAACCUGAAAUUAAAAAUUUUGAAGCAGGAGGUUGGAGAGCAAACAACCAAAUUCAAUUAUUUUCUUUUGAUGUGUAUGGUUGCUUCAAGCUAAGCUCAUAUUGCUUCAUAUAGGAACAAAAAUUAAAAUCCCAAUCCUUUUUUACUUGGGUAAAAGUCUACUAACGCAUCUUUUCUUUUGUGGGGGCGGGGGGCGGCGGGGCACAAACAAUUUAUUAUUAUUAUAUAAACUUCCUAAAUGUGUAGGAAAGCAAGAGCAAAAAUUAAAUGGAGUAAAAUUUUUGGAGGGGCCCAUGCCCUUUCAGGCUUUAACAAGGCUCUGCCACUGUGUACACAAGCUUUUAUACAAAUUCUAAUAGCAUCCAUGUCAUGCUAAAAACCUAUUUCUUUAAUUCUGAUAUGUCCUUAAGCUCGGUCACAAAAGCCCAAGUCAUUGUAACACAUGCCCAAGCAUUCUAAGCACAUGCCAAAUAACUCCAUGCCACGCUAAUACAUUUUUUCUAUGCCAAUCACCUACCAAGCUCACAUGAACCCAAGUCAUGUGGUUUACGAGGCUUGCACGAGGGAUUGUGGUGUGGAAGGUUACGGAGGUUCACAAGGCCCACGAAAGCUCUUGGAUAAUGGAGACUUUGGGCUAAAUACUUGGGAGCACCAAAGUCCAAGCCCAUUACUUGGAGUUCUCCAAUGUGGGUGAGCAAAUGAGAUAUUCUUCAAGCACUUCCUUUUACCCAUAGAAAAUAGUCAUUUUUCAAUGCCUAGCUUUACUUGUUGGAAAUAAGAAUGUCCUAAUGCUCCCUAUUACUGCUGAAAAUAAGCCAAUUCCAACACUUUCUUUUACCCACAGGAAAUAGUCAUUUUCCAAUGCCUAGCUUUACCUACUGGAAAUAAGAAUGUCUCAAUGCUCCAUUUUACCCGUUGGAAAUAUACUAACUCCAACACUUCUGUUUACUAAUUGGAAACCAAAGAGAGCCUUCACCUUCUAUAAAUUGGGGGACAUAACCCUGGCAAAACCAACUCCUCUUGGUUGCUGCUAGGGGUGGGCACAGUUCAGUUUGGACCGAUUUUUGUCUCUAAUUAGAACCGAUUCGGUACUAUUCAUCGGCUUGGUUUGGUUCGAUUUUAAUUAAAAAAAUUCAAAAACUGAGUUGAACCGGUUAAGGUUUGGUUCGAUUUUGAACCGGAUUAUUAAAAUUAUUAAUUUUUAAUACAAUUUUCAACUGAAAUUUUAUUUUAUUUACUUGAAAAUUAAUAAAUUAUUCAAUUUCACAUAAAAAUAAAUAUUAAAGAUAGAAGAGAGAGAUGUUUUGAAAUUGAACUUGAAUAAAUAUUAGUUAUGAGAUUAAAAAUAUAACAUUGAAUAUAAAUAAAUAUUGAAAUUUUAUAUAUUUUAAUUUGAUUGGUUUGGUUUGGCCCUGUCCGAUUUUUGAAGACAUAGAACUGGAACCAAAAUCGGUCCAAACUGGUCCGGUUUGGUUUUUGACCGGUUGUUGACUUUUUGGUCAACUAUAUUUUUUUUCCAGUGCGGUUCGGCUCGGCUUUCCAGUUUGAAUGCCCACCCCUAGUUCCUGCAAGCCUCUCAGCAACCAUGAGAAUUCACCUUUCUCUUAGCUGCUGUAAGCAUCCAGUGAUCAUCGACCGAUUCUCUUGGCUGUUGCAAGCUCCCAGCUGCCAUCGCAACCAUGUCUCCUAUUUUCUCAUCCUUGAAAUCCUUGAUCUACUCUAUAAAGCCUCACCUCAAGCAUAAGCCCAAGCUACUCCUUCAUCCUCCCACCUCUAGAACUCAUAAAUCUUUACAGAAUCAUAGUCACACACAUCAUAGCCUUUAAAGUCUUAAACUUUUCUUUCCUCACCCAUGCUUUUUGAAACCACAUUCAUUUGACUGCUAUAAGCAUCCCAACAACCAUCACAGUCAAACAAUCAAACCACUAUAGCCAUAGCUUCAAACAAUAAAAUUUCAACACCUAAACUCAAGCAUAUCAAACACCAAGCCAAGCACAAGCAUUCUCAUUUGCUAAACUUGUGGGUCUUUAGCUCUCACACUCCGAGCUUUCAUGCCAAGCUCAUAUAAUCUCAGUUCAACAUCAGCAAAUCAUCUUCACCCAUUUUCAGAGCUGCCGAAAACCUCAAUACAAAACACGUAGCCGCUGGAAGAACAACAAAGUACUCCCUUGAGACUUGCUUCUCAUUUGGGAUGCUUUGGGCCUAGUUCUCGCUAACUCAAAAAAAGGGGCAACGAAGGUCUGAAUUCACAACUCUAUGUCGGUCCAAGAAUGAAUAAGCCUGAACAAGCCUUCCGACAGAAAAAGGCCCCAAGACAAAGUAAUGCUUAUUUUGAUAUUACGUGGCAAGGAGAUUUUAAGGUUAGAGUUUAAUGUUAAUGAUCAUUAGUUUAGGGUAUGUUGUAUAGACAUUGACUCGAACACAAUAUAUAUCGAAUACGUUAUGAUAUCUAGUAGACACAAUUUUGAAGUAUCUUUCAGACGCAAUAGAAAACGAUCAUAUAUUUUAUUUUAGGUAGAAUAAUGGAAGAGGAACAUCAAUGUAUUGCCAAUCUUUUUAUUUUGUGUCAUGUAUUAUCUUUAAGCUUUAUAUUAUUAUUAUUUUAAAGUAUGAAAUGAAGAGCGGAGAUAUAACUGGGUUUCAGUCUAACUAAAUCACAGAGAUAAAUAAGCGCCAAAAUAAAUCCUGGCGACAAACAAAUUGUGCCCUUUUCCCGCUUCCAUGUUCCAUUCAAGAGCCAGAGCGAUCAAUCAAGCACAAGCAAACCUUCUUCGCCAUUGCAGCAAUCCCAUACAUGCCCAACAGCCAUACCACACUUUCCGUCCCAACAAACCCAAGACCAAGCCCCACCGCGAACGACUUCACAGAGACACCACAAAGCUUCGCAGGCCCAUCCCUUUCGUCUCCGAUGUCAAAGAAGUUGAAGACCCAGAAGAAGCCUUGUCUCUCUUCUACGAGUACCACCAAAUGGGCUUCAAGCACGACUACCCUUCUUACUCUGCUCUUCUCUACAAGCUCGCUCGUUCUCGAAACUUUGAAGCCGUCGAGACCAUUCUCGGCUAUGUAGGACGGCUGGGAAGUUUUCAUUGCAAAGAUACACUUUUCAUUGCAAAGAUACAUAGCCGAGAAUGGUCUCGACGGCUUCAAAGUUUCGAGAACGAGCGAGCUUGUAGAGAAGAGCAGAGUAAGAAGGGUAUCUUUGCAAUGAUCGAAACAUUCAUUGCAAAGAUACACUUUUCAUUGCUCUGAUUCAACAUUAUGGGAAGGCCAAUUUGGUAGAGAAAGCCAUUGAGCUUUUUAACCAGAUGCCUUCUUUUAAUUGUGUCCGUACAUUGCAGGCCUUCAAUGCCCUCCUUAAUGUGCUUGUUGAUAGCGGUAGGUUUGUGGAAGCGGAUGAGAUUUUUGGUCGGUGUUCUAAAAUGGGUUUUCGGCCGAAUUCGAUUUCGUAUAAUAUUAUGAUGAAGGGGUGGCUUCAAAAGGGUGACGGGGAAGAAGCUUGCAAGGUUUUUGAUGAAAUGCUUGAGAAAAAAGUGCAACCUAGUGUUGUGACGUAUAAUAGUCUUAUAGGGUUUUUUGGUAGGAAGGGUGAGUUGGAGAAAGCUAAUGGUUUGCUUGAGGACAUGAAACAGAAAGGGAAGUACCCAAAUGCUGUAACAUACGCAUUGUUGAUGGAAGGUUUCUGCAUGCUAGGAAAGCAUGACGAAGCAAAGAAGAUGAUGUUUGAUAUGGAGUAUCGGGGUUGUAAACCACGGCUUCUGAAUUAUGGUGUUUUGAUAAGUGAUCUUGGAAGGAGAGGAAAGAUUGAUGAGGCAAAAUCUUUACUUCAAGAGAUGAAGAAAAGGCUGUUUAAGCCAGAUGUAGUGCUGUAUAACAUAUUGAUUAACUUUCUGUGCAAGGAAGGUAGGGCUGCAGAGGCUUAUAAAGUCUUGAUUGAAAUGCAAGUUGGAGGCUGUGUGCCUAAUGCAGCUACAUACAGGAUGAUGGUUGACGGGUUUUGUCAGAUUGAUGAUUUUGAGGGAGGUUUGAAGGUUUUGAUUGCAAUGUUGACAAGUAGACAUUGUCCUCGUUUAGAAACAUUUGAAUGUUUGGUUACAGGUCUAGUAAAGUGUGGGAAAAUUGAUGAUGCUUGUGUUGUCUUGGAGGAGAUGGAAAAGAGAAAUAUGCAAUUUUGUUUUGAAGCUUGGGAAGCUCUAGUUGUGGAUGCUUGUGGUGAGAAUGUUGUUGCAGGGGAGGUUGUGACUGAACUAAUCUCUGUCCAUUAAUGGUCAUCAAGGAAGAAAUGAACACAUGCCAUUUUGGCGUGACUUCUGUAGCUCUUUCAAGCCCCCCAUCCUGCACGGAGACAACGCAAUAAAGAUUGGUGGCAAGCCCCUUGUCCCACAUUUUUAAUGGGUGCUUUUAGCAAUUAUUGAGCUUUACCAUCCUGGAGAGUCUUGCUAAUAUCGUAUGAUAGUUUAGUUCAAUGGAAAAAGAAAAAAGAAAAACUUUAUCCACAAGAGAAUCAUAGUGCUGCUUGACCCAUGGCUUGGAGCUAGAAGAAAUAUGCUCGUUUGGCUGAUGGGAAGGAUAAAAAAUUUUCUAAGGUAUUGGAAGCUCUAGUCUGUGAUGCUUGUAAAACAGAACUAAGCUAUGCCCACUGGUAGGCUUCACCAGAAAGAGGAAACUUUGUUUAAGAAUUGAAACAUUUCAUCAAUAUAAUGGGUGGUUGAUGCCAAAUGUAGGUUUCAGAAAGCUCACUAUGCUUGCGGUUGUUCAAAUAAAGGUUAGAUAAGCAUGUAAGCUGAGCUAAAUCUAUGACCACUGCAGUAUUCAGGGAAGAGAGGAAGUUUUUGUUCAAGAAUCGAACUGUUGAUGCGAGCGAAGUCUUGUUUCUGGGGAAGCUCUAGUUAGGAAUGCUCCUGGUGCAAAUAGAGGUUUGACAGGCAUGUAAAAUUGAAGUUAUCUUUACCCACUUGUGGGCUUCGGGGAAUAGAGGAAGCUUUAUAAAAGUUUGUCAAUAUUUUGGAAUGUCGAUGCCAAGUCCUUUGUCUAACUUUUAAUGGGGGAACAUAACUGCUUCCAUGUCGACCAUGAAAAUGCAUAUCUUACCUCUAUUUCGGUUUUUGAGUUAAUGUGCAGUAAAAAGUUACCUUGUUUUCUGUGCCGAUGAAGAAAUAUAAAUUCUGAAAUUAAAAAUUUGUUGGCUUGUUCUUCUUUUCUUGCUAUGAAUUUUGCUACACAACAUGGAGAUUAGUAGAAGCAAAAAUAUUACCGAUCCAAGAAUUAAAAAAUUUAUUAAAAUUAAGAAGAAAGAGGAGUUGGUCAUCACUGCUUAUAAGUCCUAAACAAAACUAAGGUUUUAAUUAAGUGUACAUUAUGUUUCAACCAAUACAUCAGUACCAGAAAUGCAAGUCCACCUACUCCAUGUUAUCAACUCCAUCUCAUGAUUUGACCUUAAACUUCUUAAAACUCAUAGUAUAUAUAGCCAGCCAAACUGCCUUGAUUCAUCAUCAAUCCAUCAAACAAAACAUUCUCAAGAUCACAAACUGUUCUUAUAUUUUCUCCCUUUCCUCCCAAUCCCAUGGCAACCCGAAAGUCGAUUCCCUUGCCCCUCAAGCUAAAAAUCUGGCCAGUUGUUCUUGCUCUAGCCAUUCCAUCCAUCACCCCGGCCUGAAUCCUGGAUGAGGAAAACCCUGCAACCCCUGAGGAACCUGAUACAACUCCAACACAGACACCUCUUUCCAAUGUUGCUCCUGCUGCAGCUACUAGCGCCACAGUUUCCAAUUCAGAGGCCUACCAUCCAUUAACCUUCUUCUUGCAUGACAUUAUUGGUGGAUCAAACCCCUCAGCCAGAGCAGUCACUGGGAUUGUGACCAAUCCAGCAGUCAAUGGUGAAGUCCCCUUUGCCAAACCCAAUGGAGCAGUUGUCCCAAUUGGGAAUGGCAUUCCUCAGAACAACAACAACAAUGGAAUUAUCAACAACAACAAUGUCCCCUUCUUCACUGGCCUUGGUGGAAACACAGCUAGCAACUUGAUCCAAAACAAUGGGAACCACAACAACAUCAUCAGCGGCAACGGGCUCCCAUACCUAAAUGGGGCUCAGCUCCCUCCAGGCAUAACCCUUCAAAAGCUCAUGUUUGGGACACUCACAGUGUUUGAUGAUGAGCUGACUGAAGGGCAUGAGCUUGGCUCUGGCUUGCUUGGCAAGGCACAAGGGUUCUAUGUGGCAACUUCUGAAGAUGGCAGCAGCCAGACCAUUGCUUUCACUGCCAUGUUUCAGAGUGGUGGUUAUGCUGACAGCCUCACCUUCUUCGGUGUGCAUCGCGUGGCGGCAUCAGAGUCUCAUCUUGCAGUCAUGGGAGGCACCGGAAAGUAUCUCAAUGCAAAGGGCUAUGCUCUGGUCAAGGCCAUUCCUGCUACAAAUCAGCAUAAUACCGGAGUUGACACUGUGCUGCAGUUUACUGUGUGUCUUACUUACUAGUGUGUGCUGAUAUUUUAAAAGAAGUUGUUAUGUGUUUGCUAAAUUUAAUCUCUGCACCAGAGAUGUAUGUGAUCAGGAAGGAUUUGUGAUUUUUAAUUGCACAAAUGAUUGUAUUUACAUGCAAAUCUGGUAUGCUUCUAAAGUAAACAUUAAUCAGAGAUUAAUUCCUUUUCAACUACCGUGGCCUUCACCACCGUCCAAUACUACAAAGUUCCUGGGAUCUUCCAUUGAGUUUUCCUUUUUUGCAAGUUCUAAAACAAUUUAACUAGUCUCCUACUUAGGUUGGGAGAUGGGAAUUGCAUUGAUCAAAUACAUUUGCCUCGCUUUAGAUAAGUACCUAACUAAUGUUUAUCAUUUGACACAGCACCGAGGUGUUUGAACAUAAAAUUCACACAUGUAGGAUUAAAGUGGUUGAGUUCGAGACAGUAUGAGUGAAACAAAGGCGGAAACACAUGGAGCCCAACAAUGAAUAGGAGCCAAGAGGUGGAACUUCUGUUAGCCAUUUUGUGUUUGUAGGCUUUGUAUUGUAAUUUGUAUUAAUUAAAACAUGAAAGUGGAUUCAACAAGUACAAGAACAACAGUGGAGCAGAUGUAGCUGGGAAGUGUAAUUGGUUGACCAAACCUUAUUAUCCCCUAUGAUGGAGUUGCUCUGAGACUGAGAACAUGUAUUUGUAAUCGGGUCGAAGCACCCUGGCCCACCCAAAGCAUACUAUGCGGACCCAACAUAAUAUUUUGGCCCUGAACCAGGUUUUAAAGAUCAAGUGGCCCAUCUACGAUUGGGUUGGUUAAAAAGAAUGUGACCCAAGAUUAAUGGGUUUAAUUCAACUUAUUAAUGGGUGCCAAUUACCAAUUGUUCGUCGCCAGGUUAAAAAAUACCCAUCCAAUACAUGAUGAAGAAUUCCACUGAAGCUUGAUGGUUACAACUUACAAUAAUGGUGGUUGCAACCAACAAUGGUGUACUAAUUACUCUCUUUUACCAAUUCAACAUAAUAGCAACUUAGUAGUAGGAUUCAAUAUAGGGAAUAUUGUUUGCACUUUUAGAUAACUAAAAACAUUUCUUAUAACGUUUGACAGAAAAAUUUGAAAGUGUUUCCGAAUUAUAAAGCUCUUUUUGAAAGAACUCUUACAAGUAAAAGUGAUUCCUACAAAAACGCUCUCAAACGACUCCUAAGUAUACACUAAUUAUUACAUGCACAACAAAUGAAAAGUUUGGGCAUGAGGUGAUAGUUGAGCAGAGAAUGAUCCCCCUCUCCCAACCCAGAAGAAAAACUUUCUCUUGUAACGGGGAUGUUGUUUUGUUAUUUCUGGCCAAUAAUGCAAGGAUACGUGGAAAAAUUAUCAUGCGUGUGAUUGUGCUAUUAACCGAGGAUAGCAAACAUUGCAUGAAAGUCUCUCUCCGCAACCCAAACCAACCAUGCACAUCGCAUUUAAUUCCAAGUUUUUAUUCUCCAUGCCCUAGCAAAAUUUUCAAAGGUGACCUAUAAUAAACAUAUGGAAAACUAGUUCCAAGUUUUAAGCUUUUUACGUCAAAAGUAGCUCUCAUGUCUCAAAAAGGAGAGGAACAUAACAAAAUUGUUUUGGAUAACAAAUGGAUAUCAUAAAAAAUUUCUAAGUGUUUGGACCCUUUCCUACCACCAUCAUUCUCAACCUUUUUUUCUUUGUCUUUCUUUCAGCUAUGUUUUGCAUUAUAUAAUACGCAGCCGCAAGCUGUUCUUCAUGUGCCUCACUUAAACUCUCUUUGGGGUUUAUGUUUAGCACUGUACAAACGAUUUUGCACAUCAUAAAUACAUCUCACCAAUCUAACUAAAUCUUAAAUCCUAAAUGCCUUAGAAUAAUUUACGAAACAAUAUCAUUUUAAUCAUAAGUACAAUGUAAGCAAAAAAUAUAUAUAAGCAAAAUAUCAUAUUUCAAAUUUGGGUGAAAUAUCAUUUUUUAUAAAUGUAAAGCAACAUGGCUAGGUAGACAUGAGCCCCAUCAUCAAUAUCUUUGUUUCGGUUAAAGAUACUGGUGGAUUUAAGAUUAUUAGAUAGUCCAAAUGUUAAAACUUAACUGUAAAUAGCUUCGUAGGAGCGGAGUCUAAAGCCACUUCAAAACUGUCUUUAGCUCCAGCCCUAGAUAAAUAUGUUUCUAUGUCCAAACACUUCCUUAGAAAACGAAAAAGAAUAAAUUUUCAUGUCGCACCAUUAAAGUUGCACCGACCAUAUACAAAAAUUUUCUACCAGAAAACAUAUUUUAUGAUAUGAAGGGCUUAAUAGGUGUGGAUGACUUUCCUAAUGUCUUGAUAUUUUCUUUUCCGGCCUUCUCCAGCAGUAGUCUCAGUCAAAGAAAUUAAAGUCACGAAACAUCCGGAAAAAGAAGAUUAAAAAAAAAUAUUCAGAGAAAUGGAAUUUUGCUUGCUUCCAAAUCCAACCUAUUGAUAUUACAAAACUCUUUUGCCUCAGUUGGUCAGCGGAAAGAGAUUAUAUAGUUUGAAAAGCAAAAGAGAAAAAGCAUCACCCGACCAAAAAAAAAAUAAGCAAGACCUUUGAAAGAAAACAAAAAUUAAAAUCAAAAGAAGAAGCAUGAAGCAUGAAAUCAAGCUAAAGUAUUGUAUAGCUUGUUGUCUUCAUUUGGUUGAUUGUGGGGAAGGUAUAUUGGGAUACAAAGAAAGAGAGAUUACACAUAUAUUGUUUCGAGAAACGGUGUGAAGAUUGAGUGUAACUAAAUCAAAUGAUCGUUAACUAUUUAAAUGUUUGAAAAUUAAUGUUAAAUUUUUUCUUUUUAUAUCCGUCCCAAUUAGAUAUGGGAUAAUCUUGUGAGAGGGUUCAUUUCCACCAUCCAAUUCUGACCGCUGAUGUUUAAAUAGAUGAGAAUUGACCACUUACCUCACUUAUGUGAUGGUACAAUCCAGAAGACAGAAUUUAGAAGAUAGAAGAAGAAGAAACAAAAAAUAAAAAGUGGUUCUUGUCCCAAGCAAUAAGGUGUCGUUGAGUGCCGACCAUAAUGCCACCGAAUGCAUUUCUCUAUUUGCAGACGUUAUUAUCAUUCUUUGUAUUUUUCAUUUUGUUAUUUUUCCACCGCCAACAAAACCCACUACUGCAUCAUAUCAUUGGCUUAAAAAUGUCGUGUGUAGAACAGAAGCUGGGUGAUCAAUCCUAUCACUUAGGAUGUGUUUGGUAUUCUACUUUAAUCUAAUUUUAUAAAUUCAAAAAUAAAUUUGAAGUCCAAAUCCUCAAAAACUGUAGGCUAAUUUUUUAAAACCAGAACCCAAAAAAAAAACUCAAAAACAUCAUCAUUAUUGAAAAUAAAAAAAGUGAAGUUUUACAAUUUUUCUUCAGUCUCUCCUUCUCAUUCGUAAUAAAAAAGUGCGGGGAUCCCUUGUCAUUCGUAAUAAAAUUGUUUUUCUAAUUGAACCCUAAUGUUAAAUUAAAUUUUAGUUUCGAUCAUUUGCAAAUAAGGACACGAUACAAAUGCAACGAAUGCAAGACUUCUGUGAUGACUUGUUCUUUAAAAGAGUCGAACAAUUUGAGGCAAAAGUAAUGUAGGAAUAUUCCAAUUCCAUCUACUUAUAUACGGGUGAUAUAUGGUGGUGGUUGAUAUAAUAAGUACAAAUAUCAUAAUGCUCAAAACUGAAAAGAGGUAAAGUGGUGGAUGUGUGGGGCUCUUAAGUGCUCUCUGUUUUCUUCACAUGCCUCGAUCCAUCGAGUGGUACAAAGAGCAAUUGAUUGUUGGCAGUCCACAACCAUGUUCUUGACAUGGAAAGCAGUAAACAAUAAGAUACCUUGCUCAGAGUUGACAGAAGGAGCAGGAUUUCAAACUCAUAUAUUAAACAUGAUUAUUAUUAAUUAAUUGGAUAUUAAUUAGUUAAACAACUAGUUAUCAUACAAAUUACAAAACACACACCCUGGAAUUUCAAAUUUGGCAGAGAAUAUAACAAAAAGAAAAGAGGAAAAAAAAACUUAUUUAAUUUAUUUGUGAAUUCAUGCUGACCAUCGAGAGGAUGGUGAUGAUGAUGUUGGAGAAGGCCAGAGCUGAGCCUUCUUCACCUUGGAGACACUUGAGAGCACGCCUAAUGGGGUAACAUCUCCAAUGACUGUGACCUUUUUGGUUGGAAAAUCUAUACUAAAUGAUGUCACUCCUGCAGAAAUUACCCACAUCAAUUAUUGUCUCAAACUUUUUAUCUUCAACAAACAUUAAUUUACAUAUUAUCUAGUAAUUUGAAUUACGCUUUUACAGAAGAACAACUUAAAAUUGUCUAACAACAUAGGAAAAUGCUAGGGAGACCAACUUUAGAUACCAACUUGUGUACCAACUCUCUAAUAGAGUCUGGGACCCAUUGUAUUGGUGGGCUCCACCUCUAUUAGAGAGUUGGUACACAAGUUGGUAUCUAAAGUUGGUCUCCCUAGCAUGACCCAACAACAUAACAUGUUAUAAUAUUUAAUGAUCGAGAGAAUAUUUUCUGUAUUUUAAUAUAAAAAAUAAACUAAUUUGGUUUGAAGCACCAAAAAACAACAUGCAUAUAUAAGAAAUUAAAAUCAAAUCUCUAUCUACGAAUUGGGAAGACCAAUUAUAUACCUUCCAUUUUAGAAAGAUGCUUUCUCACUUUUCCUUCACAGCCCUUGCAAUGAAGUGACACCCUCAAAACAACAACCUACAAUUAUGUCAAAUAACUUUUGAUGCAUGCCUUCAAUUCUCCAAAAGCAAAUAUUAAAAAGAAGAAAAAAUAGAAAAGAAAAGAAUUUUAUGAUAUUACCUGGUGACGAGAACGAGUGGAAGAAGACCUUAAAGCAGGAGAGUGAUCACUUGAGAUCAUCAACCGUCUAGGCUUAGAAGGCACUUGGCGAGGGAGCAAUAUUGUAUUAGCAGAAACAUUCCGAUCGGCCUCCGAUAACCAGCCUACGAAGGGCGAGUCACUUAAAAGAUACCGAGAAGAAGAAGAACCAUUGAGGCUCCUAGUCCUUGUUAAGUCAUGAAUGUCAGCAGAGCUUUUUCUACGUAGCUGAGUUUGUGCACUAGAAAAACUCUUCCUACAUUUCUCAUAAAAUGGUUUGGGAUCAAUUGGCAGCUGAGAUGAGCAAGGGACAUGGUGAUGGUGAGUUUGAUUGUGAGGCUGGUUUUUGGGUCGAUCAUGAAGACGAUGAUGAGGAUGAUGAUGAGGAUGAUCAAUGGAUGCGGGGCCUAGGCGGACCAUGGCAUGUUGGUCCAUGCUAGAGCAAAUGGAUGUGGAAGCUGGAGAAGCACAGAAAAUAUCCAGUCCUUUCAUGGUUAAUUGAUCUGAGAAUAACUUGCGAGAAAUGGCUUUGGUUUUGUUUGGUGAAGGCUGAAGAGAAGUUAUUACAGAGAAAUAGAAGGAUCGAUUUUCUUCAAAAUGAGGGCAACUAAGUGUGUUUUUAAAGUUGGUCCAUGAGAGAAAAAAGAUGUUGGUACUGAUCGGGCCCCACAACAAGGAAUAGAGGACGAUAGUGCUUUAGAAGAUAUGUGAUUCAUGAUUCAUCUGGUCCUUCAAAGUUGUGUUUUUUUUUUAUAUAUUAUUUAUUUUUUUCUUGAUUGAAUAUUUUGUUUACAAUUUAAUUGAGAGGUGGGGUUAAUUAAAGUUGUGUACAUCGUUAUCUGGUAUGAUUACAACCACUACUAGCACCAUGAAGCUAGGCUAGCCAAGCUAGCCCUAAAACUAUAUGAACUACUUCUAUUAUUGUUACAUCAUUGUUUCUUUCUUUUAUUUAUAUAUAAGAAUCAUUGUUUUACAUUUGACUCUUGCCAUAGAGCAUGAAUAUGCUUAUGUUGGCGAAAUUCCCCAGUCCGGCAGGUGAACUACCACAUCCGUUAGUUCGACAUAUCAAAGAAGAUUUAUCACUAAUGUGUGUUUGUGAUUAUAAAAUAAAGUAGUCGCCUAUCAGACUGAAAAUUGUUAUUAUUCUAAAAUAAAUCACGCAUCAUGUAAUUAGCUAAUGUGAUAAUUAAACUCUACUCUCUUUUUUUUUUUUUCACAUCGUAAUCAUAAUUGUCUAAUUUACUAUGUUCGGUAAAUGUAUGUUAAUUUAUGCUAAUCAAAGCAUUAUCUUUCCACUAGAUCUCCAAAAUUCAUAGAUAUUUGUUUAAACCUUUGUUAUCUAGAUAUCGAAACCAAAAAACAAGAUCGCGCUGUAACUUAUGUCCACUUCUUGCGAUAUGGAAUAGGAACUCCAAAAUAAUUAUAGGCUUUGAGUUUAAAAUGUACCCAAAUUCUGUCCACUUCGUGCAACAUGGCAUAAAAACUUGAAAAAAAUAAGUAUUCUUUGAGUUUAAAAAGUACCCAAAUUGCAGGAUAAGCGACAAAGCAAUGGUCAAUAAUGCUUGGAUGUGGCCAAAUUCGUGUAACUGCAGGAAGCUGGCAAUGGGUCAAAGAAUGGUAUAAUUUUGCAAUACAUAAUCAUAAUAUUGGAUCUAACUGCAUACAUGUGGCUUUAAUCGGUAGAGAAAUUCUCAUGCAACAAGGAUAGCACCUUUUAUUAUCUUUAAUUAAUAACGUAAUAAAACGUAAAAGAUAAUUUUUUCACAUGUCAUUGUAUUAUUGGUCGGAAAUACCAAAACAAUGCUAUUUCCGUUACAAGUAAAUUUUUUUGCUUACUCAACUCGAAAGAAUCUGUCUUGUUACAUCCUUUUGUUGGUUUAUCGUUAAUAGUUCAAUCUACAAAAAUUGGUCCAUAUGAGUUUGGACAUUACCAAAUUAGUCUUUUUCCAUUGAUUUCAGUUUUAAAAAAUUUAUGUUUAGGUAAGUGUCUAAUUACAAUGCUUUUUAUAAUGAUAAAUGCGCUUUCAGAUAACUAAGUGUGUUCUUCUUAUUAGAAACAAAAAUAAAUAAAAGUACAAUUUUGCUCAAAUUAUAAGGAAGGGUUAAUCGUUUUAUUAGUCUCUGAAUUUAGACCCGAUUUGCAUUUGAGUACCUUAAUUUUCAAAAUGGUUUUCGUGGUCCUUUAACUUCAAUAUCGCUAGGAUAAAUGGUCUUACCGUUAAUUUUGUUAACUUUUCUGUUAAAUGCAGGGGCAAAAUGAUAUUUUUGUAUUAAAAUUAAUUAAAAUUAAAAUAUGAAUAAAAAAUAAAAAUAAAACUAAAAAAUUAAGAUCAAACUCUCUCUCUCCCCCCUUUAUCCUGAUUUCUACUCUCCCAAUUUUUUUUUUGGUUGAUUUUUUAUUUGAUUUUAUUUUAUUGUUAUUUUAAAGAUAUGAAUUUUUAUUCAUAUUUUUGGUUUUAAUAUAAAAAUACCAUUUUGCCCCUGUAUUUAAUAGAAAAAGUUAACAAAAUUGACAGCUGGACCAUUUGUCCUAAGAAAGUGAAGUUAAAGGACCACGGGAACCAUUUUGAAAAUUAAGGUAUUCAAAUGAAAAUUGGAUAUAAGUUCAAGGACUAAAAAACGAUACAAAAACGUAGGGACUAUGAGCGGGAGUGAAUCCGACCGCCUGCCACCCGUACAUUUUUCAUGUCAUAACACUUCAUCUUACCAUUGAAAUGAUAAAGUGCUUACGUGCAUUUUCUUUUUGUCAUUGAAAGAAUGGUACUCAAUAAAAAUGUUUUCUGAAUUUUGGAUUGAAUUUCUUACAUACAUCUACCAAAAAUAGACCAAGUAUGUACUAAAGUAUCAAAAUAAUCCUAAACAAGUCCUAAGAUUUAUAUCAAUUUUUUUUAAAGUACAAACGAUAAUCUAAACUAAACGAGACAACUAUAAUACCAUGAGGAUUCGAACUUGAGACCUCUAAAUAUCAAUUUCAUGAUAACCAAAACUAAAGAUACAUUUGUGCUACAGUUUACUACAGUGUUGCAUAUCUGCAAGCUGACUUACAAUUGUCAAAUCCCAAUACCAUUUAGUUGGUAAUUGUUAUCUAAUGAUGAGAUUGUAAUGAUAAAGCAUGGAAAAUGGAAAAUGGAAAAUUGCGCCAAAUGGCUGAGUUGUGUUCCAUCAAUGAGUGGCAUGGCGAUUGCGGCAGUCCAACCAUUUUGUGACAUCUCUUUUCCUGCAUAAUAAAAACAACUACACAACCAUCGAUUGCCGUCUGAUUAGCUGGAAAUUGCAUGCAUCAAUUGCCUUCUAAUAAUUUUCCAUGUAAAGCUUCUUUAACAAUGGAUGUAAUGGGCAUCCACCAUUACCUUACUUAAUGUUACAAAGUUUUGAUAUCUGCAAGAUAUCAAUGGGCCUACGGCUGAUUGUAAUGAUGAUAUAUAUACACUUUCGUUGUUCUUGUAAAGAAAUGCUAGAAAACGACAAACCCCAUUCACUAGGGUCCUUAAUACGUUUAUCUCCUUUUUAUGGUAUGCAAUGUAAUGUUGUAUGAUAAUCGAAUUCGUUCAUAUUCGAAGGCAUUAUUGGUGAGGAUCAUUUCUGCUUGAAAUGAAAAAAAUUAAUUAAAUUAGAAAUUAUUUAGUUAUUUUAUUAAUAGUAAACGUUUCAUUGAAAUAAUAUUUUUCAUAACGUGUAUGAGAUGUUGUGUUUUGAAACAAAGAUUAUAUAACUCUCUUUUUGGCCAACGUGCGUUCCGCGUCAUAAAAUGCCUAAUCAGGUAUCAUAGAAUAGUUUUUGUGUGUGAUAACUUAGUGUGUUUAAUCAAACUACUGAGUUUGUCUAUAUAUUUGACAACAAUUAGACAAUUAAAUGAUUUUUUAUUUAACUGAUUUUAUAUAGAGAUACAUGAUUACGAUCAUUGUUUACGAGAGAAGGUAAACAUGGACCCUAUUGAUUAGGAUCAAAGUAUCAUGUCAUAUGAUAGUAUUAAGAUCAAAAUAUCACAAAAAUGUUUGGAUUUAUAUCGGCAUAAAAAAUCAAUUAGACUUUUAGUGUGUGGGCCUCAUAAUCACGUGGUUAAACAUUUGUUACAUACUCUGUGUGGACCUCACUGAACAUUUUGUUUUAUAAUCACGCGAUUAAAGAUGCGGGUCUUUCAUUUUAGUGGAAGGUUUAAGGCUUUAAUUGUUUUAAUCUCUUUCUUUUUCUAAGGUAUCUUUUACUUUUCCUGUUCUUCAUAUAAUACUGUUUCAAAUUAAGAUGACUACCACAGAUUCCCUGACGUUUCUGUUGCAAAUUUGCCUUUCUUCUUUCAGAAAAUUAAAUCAUUCAAGCCUGUAGUCUUAUGCUCUCUUUACUCAAUAACCUUUAAAAAAAAAAAUAUGUUUAUAUUGAUAAUAUAUGGUGACAAUUUCGGCAUAAUGGGCCAUCCUUUUGAUCACUGCUUCCCAUCACUGUGCAGAAAGAUUACCAUAUAAUGGGCCAUAAUUACCUGGUGAGUUGGGUCAUAUCUUGAAAGAGUACAAGAACUAAACCUGGACCCCCAUCACUGUCUUCAAGAUCACCCAAGAAGUAACUUGAAGUGCACAAUUUGUUUGACCAAUUGAUUUCGGAUCAAGCAAAUUAUACAUGUUGUUUUGAUCCAAUCAUUAAAACUAUGCCGGUCAGCCAAAUCCCACUGCAAUUAUGCUAUUUGGGAGGUCCAUGAACUCAUGGAGUGCUAAUAUUCGGCAGUGUAUAUGCAUGGAUGGAUGAGAAUGGGUUAAAAUUAGGGGUGUAAGUUGGAUAGGAAAAUUCGAUUCAGACCAAUCCCGUUAUGACAAUUUCUGAUUUUGGCAAGUCCAAAUCAAUUCUGACAUCUGAAAAUUCCAAUAAAAAUUGGAUUGGAAUUUGGAAUGUAUUUAGAGAUUCUGAAAAAUUCCGAAUUCCGAAAUAUAUUGGAGUUUCAAACUUUAGCUACAAACUCUUGCGUAUUUUAUCAACUAGCUCUUAAUACGUGGUAAUAUUUUUCUAAUGUUCAAAAAGCACCUAUCAUUCCUAAAUACAAUUUAGAGAUUUAAAAAAUCGCUUGCACUUCGGCUACGCUGAUAAUUAACUGCGUAUGAGAUCACUUUUAACUUUUUAUUUUAUGUAAAUAUUAGGUAAUUAACAGUUCAAUUUUUGUUAUUACUCAAUCAGAUAAAUUUUUUUUUUCAAAUUCCAAAAAGAACGAAAAAAAAAAAAGGAAAUGUGAUUCAAUAACUCAUAUUGCAUCUUAUCAAAUCUUCGUGAUUUGUAGUCAGUCUAUCUUUUUCUGUUUUUUUUCUUAAAAGAGAAGAAAAUUGCUCUCGUGGUUUUGGGCUCACGCUCUGCCAGAUCAUUGUUCAACACAUAUCCUACUCAAUUAUGAGUAAUUUGUAUAUUGCUGCACUUAUUGAAUUUGUCAAAUUUUGUUCACUAAAAGUGCCACAAAUAACUCAAAAAGGUUAUCUAUUACCAUCUUUUGCUCUAUAUGUGGGACCCCAUUUAUUCCUUAUCUAGUUUAUUUUUUCUUUUGCCACACCAGAACACAGUAGGUAGCUAAGCUAUUGUUUGCUUCAAAUCUUCCUUCAGCCGGCGAGUGUGUUCUGAAACUGCACAAUCAGUCGCAGAUCCUGAUGGCAUGGUGCCAAGCUAUAUGUUGCACUCGUACGGAUACGAGUACGUUAAUACGAUACGAUAUAAUUUGCUGAUAUGGUAGAAUUCUAAAAAUUAGAAUAUGAAUACAGCGAUUAAAAUAAUAUAUAUUUAAAAAUUAAUAUUACACCCAUCAUGUUAUAAUCAUUCAUCAUAAGUUCAAAACAUAAAACUAAACACAAAAUACAAGUCUCCAAAAACAAAACACAAAAUAUAAGUCUCCACAGGAUUGUUCAAAUCAUAAAAAAAAAGCAACACAAAAACAAAUUAAAACAUUGAGAAGCCACUUCCCAAAUCUCUAACUCCAUAGGAUUUUAUAAUUUUGAAAACCACCACACAUAUUUUCAAAUAUUUUCAAAAUUACCCCUUAAAGUAUCAGAAACGUAUUGGGACCAUAUCCUUGAAGUAUUGGAAGGUCAAAUUUUCAAAAAAGUCAACAAUACUCCUAUAUCCGUAUUAGAUACAUAUCGGAGAUAUAUCGUACCCGUAUCGGCGUAUCAGAGUAUCAGAUACCAGCAUAACCCUCCAAUUAAGAGUAUUGGUGCAACAUAGGUGCCGAGUGUGCCUUAUUCAAAUUGGGUAUCCCUUCAACUUUACAAAGAAAAGCACUAUCUACAAGAAAAACACCAUUUUAGUUGGUCUAGACGUAGUUUGAGUAUUGAUCCAGUCCACUCCAACAACGCAUAAUAAAAAGUAAGUCAACCAUCCACACAUAAGAGACAAAACCCUAUGAAAAUUCAUAGUUUUGCCCUUGAACAUUAAUUAGUUGUGCCUUUGAACUUCACCAUCAUCCUCAUUAUAUAGACUAUUGAUCUAGGUGAGAUUUACUUGUGAUUUUCCUAUAACGUAUAAUCCUUCCCUUGGUUUGGCCAGUAAUUUCCUAAUAUUCAAUCAAUUUUCUGUACAAUGUUCAUAAGCAUUAAGGUAAAAGGAGAGAAAGUAAAAAAGAAUAAGAUGCUCACAAGUGUGUACACAAGUAUCAUCUGCCAAACAAAAAUAUGUACGUACGUGAAUAUUCUUCAAUCAAAAUUACAAUUUUCAGAUGAUAAGGUAACUCCAAUAUGCUGCUUAGCAACAAUUGAUUGGAGUAAGAUCAUCAGUUUGAUCCAUAUUAGGCACUAUCUUCUUCGAUCUCAUGAAAACCCUACUACCAAAAAUCAAGAAGCCAACUGAAUAUCCAGAAAUUGCAGCAAGUAAAACACCAACGUUGAACGACAUGACUGCUAGCAUUACCAAAUAAGCCAAUCCAACCCUAAUAGCAUACAUCAAGGUUUGCUUAAGCCCAUCAGAAACAUAAUGAUCUGCGGUAGAUCCAUCGAUCAAUUUCGUGUGCGAAAGCCACUCUACCACCAAAGAGAGCAGAAAGACGGACACUAAGGCCAACAUGUAAGACUCAAGGCUCUGGCCUGGCCAACCUGAGAACAUAAUUUCUGUGGUGUUGCCCAAGAAAUAUGUAAAAUGGGUUUUCAUGGUUGCUUUGCUCCCAAAUAAAAAUGAGAAGAGAUUAUAAAAAGAAAGAAGUAAAUAAGGGAAAGUGGGUUUUAGUACUGGAAGUUCAUAUAUCUGUACUACAACAAAUGGUACUUAAUUUAAUUUGUGGUGCUAAACUCCAUCAGCUAUAGCUUGGUUAGUGGUGCUUCCACCAUAGACUUAUCAAGUAGAUUCUUAGUCGGCUGGCUAUAAUUAACUGGGCCAUGUCACAACUUUUGCACCACAGUCUUGUGUUGGGGGUGGAAAUUUGCAUACUUUAAGAGCAGAUGCAAUUUGUUUAACUAGCAUUCUGUGUACUACAUAUUAAUUGUAGUACAAAACUACACAGAUAAAAUAUGUUGGCUGAUUUUUUUCUUCUUCUUAAACCCAAAAAAUUAAGCACCAUGUGUGAACAAAAAAAAAGUUUAAAUUAACUUCUUGUCUAUUCUAGAUUGUCGGCAUUUCUCAAUACGAAACAAUUAAGGAACACCAGCGUACCGUCUUUCAAAGAAGUACCAAUGAUGUUCAAGUCUGAGUGAAGGGGUUACUAACCACUUUAUUGGUCUAGUAGGUUUUUUUUAGUAUAAAUGAUAGUUUGAAUUAUAAAAAAGAGAGAUUUCUCACACACACAUUCUGUUGACAGUAGCUUUUCUUUUUCUAACAAUGAAAAAUGUUGCACAUUUGAAUUCCACAUCCCGUAGAAAAAAACCCAAAAACCAAAAACAAAAUUUGUGUAAGUGUUGAGUAACAGAGUGUAAAAUUUUUUUGUGGUUCUCAAAAUCCGUGUGUCUUGUCACUUAACAGAAAUUUGACACUGUUAACUUUAUUUAAAAGUAAUAUAAGUUAAAAAAUCACUCAAGUUGCUCAAAUGUCAGAAGAAUAUAAUAGAGACAAGAUGAGCACGUGGUUUUUUAUUUUUUAUUUAAAUACAAGCGAUAUAGUUUAAACUAUAAGAGCGAGGGGAGUUUCUCACGCACAUACUACUAAAGUGUUACCUGAGAUCACUAGUUUGCACAUCAAGGUUUUUUUUCCAUUGAGGUAGACCCCGUUAGCACAUGAAUUUUAAGUAUAGCACAAAUGAACUCCUCAAUAAAGUCCCAUGGGAAUUAGAUUUCCUUACAAGAAUUAAGAAAGUUGUUGACUAUGAAAACGGCUAUAAUCUAGGGCAAUCAAUUGAGCCCAAAAUGAAAAGCAUUUUGGAAGGUAAUAGUUUGAGUUUAACUUUAAAUGAUUUUCAAGUGGAAAGUGGAAAAAUAGUUUUGGAUUUUAUGAAUUUCCUAAGGCAAGAUGAGUUUUCGUGCUAGAUUUAAGCACCCAUCCAUAUUAGACUCAACUGGUAUGAGCUGAUUAAUUAAGUAUCCUCCUAUUGUGAGACUAAAUGGAAGUGUGCCUCCUCUGUCCAUAUAUAUGCUUGAUGCUGAUAUUGAGCUUUUAAAUGGAAAUUUGGCCUAGCUUUGACCUAAGUUCACAUGAUAAUGAUGGCCAUGUCCGCUGGCAGGCGCCAAGAAGCUUGGUGAGGUUUCAAUUACAGUGGCAGAAUUCUUUGCUCUUCGGGAUAUUGGUUUAGCCUGUGCAGUUUCCAAAGGCUGGCGCUACAUCAUGGUCGAGGGUGACUCAAAACUGGUGAUUGACUCAGUGAACAAUCUCUGCUCAGUUCCUUGGUGCAUUAUGUAAGUCUUUACUAAACUUUUAUACAAUAAUACUAACCUUGUUCAGCCAUUGUAGCAGUAGAGUAUCUUGAUUUCGUCUAGAGAGUCUUCUACCCUAUGCAGCACUUUAGUUUCUCUUUCUCUUAGAUAGGGUGAGAUCUGAUUUGAGAGGGUGUUUGCUGCAAGGGGAGGGACCUCUAUUUAUAUGUGCAUCACUCACAAAGCUUUGCCUAUCAAGAAGCGUUUGAGUGUCCUUUUUGCAUUAGAAUAGGUUUGUUUCAAUCCAUGUUAUAUUAGGAAUCCUGAUAAUACUUGUGUUUAACUUUAAUAAGAUUUGUACAAGUAUUAUCUCAUAAGGAUUGAGUUCUAUUUCCUGAUCAAACCAAAACUCGAAUCUUCUUGGGAUUAGAAGAUCAUCUUUUAUGGGCUGAGACAAUAAAUCGUCUUACACCUUACACAGUUGAUUCAGGACGUGUUACACCUUGCUUCUUUCUGCGAAGAGAUUAGAUUUACUCAUAUUUUUAGGGAAGCUAAUUCCGUAGCUGAUGCUUUAGCAUCUUUGGGGCAGUCUCCUUCUUUGCUUUAGGAAUGUUGUCUCCCACUCUUUGUUGUUAACUCUUUCUAUCUGGACCUCUUUGGGCCUGCGUGCCCAAGAGGGUCUAAACUAUGUUAAGAUUCUUUGUUUUCGCAUAGAGAGCAUUUGGGUUUGCUAUAGGAAUGAAAAAUGUGUUACCAUUCCCAUUCCAUUACAUAAGAAUUUGUCUAGAGUUAGUUUUGUUAGUAUGUGAUAAUUCUGAGUAGCAAAACAAUUCAGUUGAAAAAUGUUACGGUGUGUUUAAAUUUUUAUUCAUUUUUAAUAUAAAUUUUUUUAGUACUUUCACUACAUCUAUACUAAAACCAACGUGCUGCACAAGUUUUUAAAUAUCAAUUGACUAUUAGAUUUUUUUUGACCGAUGAGAAGGGUGACUAGUAGCUCACAAACGAAACGACGGAUAUGCAAAAACAUUUAAUAUUAUGUACGUCUGUCCUCAACUGCAAUAAAAAGUGCAGGGACCGCAGUCUUUAUUGUUACAGGAUUGACCCCAUCCCGUAUAUACUUUACUAAUGUAUAUCAAAAUUUCUCAUAACUAUAUUUGUAAAAAGCAUUUAAAAAUAUCAUCUUUUCUUUUAUACUCAAUUUAAAAUUACCAGUUUCUAUUAGUUGGAAAAGUAAGAAGAAGAAAGAUAAAAAGUAGCCAACUUAAUCUGACUCAAUUGAAGCAAAAGCAUAUUAAGCAAACGUGUGAAUUCAUUUUAAUUGUAUUGGAUACUGUUGAGUUAGCAGUUUGCUUAAAACUUCCAAAAGCCACUCUUAUGCAUUUGUAUAUGUAUUUAUCAGUGUGUAGUGAAUGAUAUUCUAGUAGCAGCUUGGAACUUGAACUACAAGAAAACAUGCCCUACCACUACUUGUAUAUAAUCAUGCGUCUAUCUCUCUUAUCACAUAUAUAGUUGUAUAAUACAACUUAUAGAUACCUAAAAAUUUCUCAGUUUCAAUAACGUAUCGUCAUUUAAUUUCUAAGACCUGUCGAUUUAAUUAUGCUAUAAAUAAGAAAUGGGCAUCAUGUAAGACUCAACAUCUUUCUUUUCCACUCCUAAAAAAAACGUGUUCUUAAUCCAUGAAGAUGUAACCAAACACAAG